rnacentral:lncRNA from 1 species
CCAUUGUUUUCUCUGAAAAUCGCCUCUCCCCGAGCUCCAAUUUGGUAAAAAUGGAAAAUUGUACUGUUCAUAUGUACUGUACACGGGCACUGUGCACGUUACUGUACAUGGUACUAUACACGGAUACUGUUCACGCAGGUGCGGUUACUGUUCACACGUGCGAAAAAUGUAGAAACUGCCCAGAAAAUUGCAGCAGCUUUUCUUUUCACUAAAAAGGCUCUAACUCCAUCAUAGGAACUCGGAAUUCGAUGAUUCUUGUUCCUAUGAGUUACAAAUAAUAAUACGAACAUAGCCCUUCAGUCGAAACUCAAUUCGGAGCUCAUUUUCUUAGUUCAAUACCCAUUUUGCUCGUUAAACAAUUAACUCAUAUUUCGUGUCAAAAAGCCCAUCACGACUUGAUGAAAUUAGACCAAACUUUCUAGAUCAGUCCUAUAAUUCAUUAUCAAAAUAUCGGAAGUCUCGAAAUUAAAUUUCGAUCUCUAGAACUAAAAAUGGACCUUUGGAUCAUUACAUGCUUAUGCUCAAAACGGCAAAAUCUUCCAAAAUCUCUUCCAAAACAUAUCCGAGCCUCAUGGGACCCCGACCAAACAUGCCAACACACCACAUAACAUAAUUCAAACUUGUUCCAACCUUCGGAAUGCUCAAAACAACAUCAAAACAUUAAAUCAUCCUCGGAUUCAAGCCUAAGAAUUCCAAAACUUCCGAAAUCCGAAUUCGAUCAAAAAGUCGACCAAACGACGUCCAAAUGACCUGAAAUUUUUCACACACAUCAAAAAUGACAUAACGAAGCUACAACAACUCUCAGAAUUCCAUUCCGACCCUCGGAUCAAAAUCUCACCUAUCAACCGGAAUUCGCCAAAAUAUUAACUUUGCCAAUUCAAGCCAAAUCCUUCCACGAACUUCCAAAAUAUAUCCGCGCUCCUAAGUCAUAAAUCACCCAACAAAGCUAUCCAAAUCAUAAAAUUUCUGAUCCGAGCUCAUAUACAAAUAAGUCAACUUUUAGUCAAACCUUUCAAAUUCAAAGCUUUCAACUGAGACUGUUCCUUCAAAUUCAUUCUAAUUUUUCCUGAAAACCAAAACCAAUGAUAUACAUCAGUCAUAAUACGUUACACGGGGCAAGUCAUGCCCGGGAACUGGCGAUCAAAGUGCAAAAGUUCAAAACGACCGGUCGGAUCGUUACAAAUAUAUAUACUCUGUUUACCCCAUCCUCUAAAAAAAGAAACACAUAUAGUUCAGUCAUGCCCCAUUACUUUAAAACAAGGUAAACCAACCCCCUCCCUUCCCUCCACCCCUCCCCAAAAAAGGAAGUUAGAAGAAAACAACAGAAAAGGAGAAAUCUUUCUAAUAAGGAACAAAUAAAACCAUACGGGUAUGUUCAAAUGAGUGGCUAAACCAAUAAAAACUAGCAAGAGCAUAAGUAUAUCCUUUUACUAUACAUAAUAUUUCUCCAAAUCGAUUGAUCUGUUAUGCUAUUGAAAAGAAUCUCCUUUCUUUCAAAAUCAAACUCAAUCCACAUAUAUAAUCGUCUUUACAAGAUGAACACACUAUUUGGCAUAUAAAAUAAAGGCGAGCAAAAAUCAAUCAAACAAAAAAGAAUUUUUAUCAGCAAUACUUUUCAAAUUUGGAUGUAAUUAAGUAUUUGAAAGAUAUGUAAUUCUAAGAAGAAAUCCAAUAUUUGAUAAACACAGAGUUAAUUCAUACAUAGGAAAACACAUAGGUUGAAUAGAAGUUUAUAGAUUACCUUGACAAGAAGGAAAAUAAAACCCUGGGUUGUAGAAAAGAAAUCAACUUGUGAUUCUUUGCAGAUCUUUGACUGCUCAAAGCUAGCUAUGUGCGUGUAUUCUUGUAACUGCAAUUUGUCUUGUUCUCAAUUGAUAAAAAAGAGAGAAGUUAUCUUGUUCUCAAUUGAUAAAAUAGUAAAAGGUGUUUUAUUUUAGGAGGGGUGGUCACGAGAGUUGAGGGUUG